UUUUUAAUGACGAGUCCCAAAUAGGACAAAUAGGACGAAACGUGCGUCCUGGAU
rnacentral:hammerhead_ribozyme from 1 species